CCUUCCUCCUCUUCCUCCCAGAGCCAGGCGCUCCGAGCCGGCCCAGCGGCCGCGCUGCUGCUCCGACCUGGCACCGCGAGCGUGCUGCGGCUCGGCUCCGCUUGGUUCGGGGCGCACCCAGAGAACUGGGAGAAUCGCCGCGUCCCGAGCGCCAGCCCGCACGGUGGCCACCGCGGCUAGCCUGGGAGCACCCGGGGCCGGACGGCUGCACCAGUGCCAGUGCCGGGCAGUUUUGAGUUCGGAGAAUGUCAGGGACCCCAGAAUCUCCCGGCCAGGGCGAUUGCUGUAAUCUCUGCUGGGCACCCACCCGCUGGAGCGAACCCUAGGAAAGGGAAGCAAAUGCAUGGAACCUCCGCAAACUGGACAAGAAUCCAUCUUCCACUCAAGCUGGGAAUAGACUUUGUAAAAGAUUAUGUAAUGGAGUCUCGGGAAGCUCGAGACGUCUCCAGCGAAGCUGCUGGUGAAUUAAUUAAAUGCUUUAAAUGGUCUAGCUGUCUGUGCCAAGGUGCUGUAUUAUGGGCAGGAGUGACUGGAAAGUAACAGCUGAACCCUUGUCCCUGGAGUGAGACCGAAUACUGGAUUAUUACAAGUCUUGACCUGGGGCGAGAUCCAUAAUCUCAUGUAUCAUUAAUGUCAUCUGACAUUGCCUUUUUUGUUUCUCAAGCUUACAGACAAAAGUGGUGAAGAAGCAACCGAAAUUAUAUAAAGUGCAAGAUGUGGAGAUUCUUUCUCUUCUGCGGCUGUCGGAAAAGAUUCUUGAAGUGAUGCGUCUAAUAAUUGAUUGAGAACCAAUGAUCCUUCUGGUAGUUACCCACCAUUCACAGGAGGAUGUGUACCAGGGUAAAUAAAAUUAAUGAACUGACAAAAAGUGACUUGAAUCUAUGGGGUGGGGGGAGUGUGAUCUUGUGGCAAGUGUGAAGUGGGCACGGGCUGGUGACCCUCUAAUCCAAAAUGGUCUGGCUGCAGAAACGUGGGUACCAAGGGGAUUCUGAAAAUCCUGACUAAUAAACCAAAAGUUAGUAGCGGCAGGGUAAAGAGAAAGGAAACAAAGAUACCUUUGAAAUUUUCUGUUUGUGGAACAAAUUUGUACUUACGGUGAAUAUUUUGGUUUAACCACAUUAAUACUCAACCAAAAAGCCAGUAACCAGUGGAAUAUUCCCCCAUCUCUGACAUCAGAAAACUAUGAACAUUUCUUCAAUCAUAUUCCUUUGUUCUGAGGAGAGGAAAAGAGUCAUUAAUCUCUA